AUUGAACGCUGGCGGCAUGCUUUACACAUGCAAGUCGAACGGUAACAGGGUGCUUGCACCGCUGACGAGUGGCGAACGGGUGAGUAAUGCGUCGGAACGUGCCGAGUAGUGGGGGAUAACGCAGCGAAAGUUGUGCUAAUACCGCAUACGUACUGAGGUAGAAAGUGGGGGACCUUCGGGCCUUACGCUAUUCGAGCGGCCGACGUCUGAUUAGCUAGUAGGUGAGGUAAAGGCUCACCUAGGCGACGAUCAGUAGCGGGUCUGAGAGGAUGAUCCGCCACACUGGGACUGAGACACGGCCCAGACUCCUACGGGAGGCAGCAGUGGGGAAUUUUGGACAAUGGGCGAAAGCCUGAUCCAGCCAUGCCGCGUGUCUGAAGAAGGCCUUCGGGUUGUAAAGGACUUUUGUCAGGGAGGAAAUCCCUAGCGUUAAUACCGCUGGGGGAUGACAGUACCUGAAGAGUAAGCACCGGCUAACUACGUGCCAGCCGCCGCAGUAAUAC
rnacentral:rRNA from 1 species